AUGGACGGUGGCUGGACCGAGGUCUCCUCGCGGAAAAACCGCAAGCCCUCCCAAGAUCCGGCGGCUCCUCGCGCGUCGCGCACCUCACACCGCUCGGACCGGCGGCCGGACUUCAAUGCGGUGGGUAGCCGUGAGGCCUUCUUAAGCAAAUUCCGGGGCCGCUGCUUCCGCUGUCUCAGCAAGCGCCACCGCCGGAAAGACUGUAGAGACCCCAUUCGCUGCGUGCUCUGCAAGCUCCAAGGCCACCUUGCCCGCGAGUGCCCCCAAAAUCCUCGCAAUGGUCGCGGCGGAGCUGCUUCCUCUAGGCUAGGCCCCCUCCCUGCUCACGCUCCCGUCCACAGCCGCCUCCACUUUCCCACCCCGCCGCCCCCGCCGCCCUCGCGCCCUCUUGCUAUGGCACCCCCGGCUGACCUGAGCUUGGUCGAUCCAGCUCGCCGCCCCCGCGCUAGCCACAAAGUUGGUGUGUCCACUCCCGCCAUUGAGCAGAGCAUCUUCUUCCUGCGCCGCCACGCCAUCACGCUGCGCGCUUCUGACGGCGUUUGCGCCACCUCGCCAAUGGCGGUGGGCCGUGCUCUGGAGGCGCAGCUCUGUGUCCCGCCGCACCAUCUGCGCGUGACGGCGCACAACCCAGAAGACUUCUUCGUCAUCUUCACGCAGCUGGCCCACCACGACAACACGGUCCGCCGUGGCUCCCUGCGUGUCGACGGCGCCAACUUCGCCAUCGCGCCGUGGGGGGAGAAUGACCAUGUUGGCCACGGCACCUUCAACCUCCACGUGCGCUGCAUCAUCGAGCAUCUACCUCAACAGUACUGGACGCUGGAAGGCGUCCAAGAAGUCUUUGGCGACAAGGUGCUCGUGGAUCGGCUCGACAGCCGCACCCUGGAGCGUGACCACACCAAGACGUUCGCUUGUUGGGUGUGGGUUUGGUACAUGUCGUUCAUCCCCACCCGGCACACGUACUGGAAGCUGCCCCAGGGCGCCGGUCGGGUGGAGGAGUGGACGGGUUCUCGCCGCCGGACCGCCACGUCGCCCUCCCGCCCGGCGCGGAGCGCUACCACUUGCUCAUCCACGUCGACCGAGUCGAGGAAUGGUCCCCCCGCUCCCCCAAGUCGUCGCACUCUGCUCAAAGCGGCCUACCCUCCUCCGACUCCGACAACGACGACGAUCUGCCCCGGACCAUCCCCGGCACCUGGAUCAUGCACGUCGAGGACGGCCAGCCCAUGGAGCCCCAUCGCCGUCAGCAGCACGUGCCUGUGGUGGACACGGGCUGCCGCGGCCUCCCUGGAGGCGGCCCUCGCCGCGACCACGACGGCCAGGGAGGGGGCAGCGGUCGCCGCUCCUGGAAGGACACCCUGUUGGGCUGGGGCCGCGGUCACGCUGCCCAGGCAGAUCGUGGCGAGGCCACGAGCAAGGAGCGCCAGCGUAGCUGCUCUCCUCCCUCCCGGCGCUCGAAGAAAGCAAGAGGCCAUGGACGGCAUGGUGGCCGCUCGACCUCACAGGCGUACCCGGCCAAGCAGCUGCAAGGGAAGGCCAAGCUCGCUAGCCAAGUCCACGUGCCUUCCCCUGCUGCGGCUCCGGCUGGCCCCUGCACCACUCAAGACGACGUCGCGGAGUUCUUCGCCACCGCAGAGAAGGCUCUUGCUGCUCCCACCUUGGGCGACGCCGCUGCCGCACUCCUGGAUGAGGAGAUCGCCACCGCCAUCGGGACGCCCCUGGAGUUCCACGACCGCGACAAGCCGGAGACAAGCAAGGCCGCGCCCAGGAUGCCGGACGUGUUCGGCCCCACGCUCUCGGGGCCGCGUCACGCCCCGGAGCACUUCAGCUGCCAGACCCCAUCGCGCGCCAACACGGUUGCCCUUCAGCUCGGCGUGGUGA
rnacentral:rRNA from 1 species